UACGUAGGGUGCGAGCGUUAAUCGGAAUUACUGGGCGUAAAGCGUGCGCAGGCGGUUCGUGAUGUCUGGUGUGAAAGCCCCGGGCUUAACCUGGGAAUUGCAUUGGAAACUAGCGGGCUGGAGUGUGGCAGAGGGGGGUGGAAUUCCACGUGUAGCAGUGAAAUGCGUAGAGAUGUGGAGGAACACCGAUGGCGAAGGCAGCCCCCUGGGCUAACACUGACGCUCGUGCACGAAAGCGUGGGGAGCAAACAGG
rnacentral:rRNA from 1 species